CCAGGAAGAAAGCAUUAAACCUUUGCUUGAGCUGUUUGUUGGUGUACUUGGGGUCCUGUGGAACUUCUCUCAAUGGUAACUGGCUUGAAGACUCCUUUGGUGAUCGUGGUAGUCGUGGGCUUGCCUUCUCUCUCUGGAAUAUCAGGUCCUCACAGAAAGGAAUUGAGUCCAUUUCAUAAAGAGACUCGGAAGUGUCUAGGAGGAGAGGGGACUUAGGCUCAAAAUCGAGUGUUGUUGACAAGCUUUGGGGCAUUUCAACUUGAGGAUUCAGUAAGGCCCACCAUGAGGAGUCAGGACCAUACUUAGGUAAGGACCGAGGGGCUAAGGGCCAAGGAGUCAGUUCCAGUUCUGCAUGAAUGGAGGGCUUUCGAGAGGGUUCUGGAUACCUGACUGCAGGUCCUGAGUACAUGUAGUUAGUUUCUGCGGGUCUUUGGAUUUGCUGCUUAUGGAUGGACUCUGGAGUGACAUACAUGAGAGAUUUUCGAGGGCUGUCAGGCACUGCUCGAGCUGUAGGAUGAAGAGUUGACUGCACUGACUGUCGUGGUGAGGACAUGGUGACCCUGCAGCUGACUUCGUUGUCUCGGAUUGAGGAUCUCACACUGGGCUCCACAUCUGGUGAUAUUAAGACCUUUGAGGGUCUAGUCUCAGUGGAGACAGAACGUUUGUAGAGAGACUCAUGCUCUGAAUGUCUAGGAGGAACUCGAUGUCCACCAUCUAAAUCUUUAAGGACAGAGAGUUUGAGGGAUGAUGUCAAUUUCAUAUUCCUAUGCAAGGCCUUAGGUUCUAAAAGAACUGAUGUGUAAGGAUCCAUUUGUGACUCUUGGCCAUGACUCCUUUUAUGAGCUGCCCGGUGGUCUGUAGCGACCCGGCUGCUGCCAUGCUCUGGGCUAGUGGGACUCCUUGGAGAUCUGACCUCACCAGUCAAAAUCUUUCCAGUGGGCUCGGUUUGUACUGCUUCAUCCUUUGGGUAAGAUGAAAUCCUACGAGGAACUCUGACCCCUUGAGGGUUCUGGACCUUGGAAGGCGGAUCCUCUUGUAAGUUUUGUGAUUCUAAAGUAUCCUUCUCAUCUAUGAAACUCAAGAGGCAGGAGGAUUUGGCAUUUGGGGUCAAGGAGGUGCGACAGCCAACCUCACACCCUGGCUUGAUCUCACCCCCUCUUCGAGUUGCUUCCUCUUUGACAUUACGAUGUAUGCUUACAGGAUGGGGAGGUGCUGUAUGAACUUGCUGACUCUUUUGCUGAGGAUUGGAAACGCGUGGUCGGGUCUCAGUUCCCCUAGGGGUGGAUGCUGUAUAGAGGCUGGGCCCUGACUGUGGGGACACGGUGUGAGGAGAGUAUGAUGCUGAAUGGGAAGUAGUGGGAGGCGCAGCUUCAGCUCUUUGGGGAGGAGGGCUCCCAGAGACGGCAGCACUUUGCUGGCUUGUGGCAAAAAUGUACUCGUGUCCCCGCUGGGAGGUGGGGCUAGUAAACUCAGGUCCUCUAUGUGCUACCUUGGAUCCAGAUUUAUUUGUCCUGAGUAUCUGAAAGACUGUGCCCUUCUGUGUAGAUGCCAUAUUUUAUCAGCUGGCUUGUCUUCUGGAUUCUACUGAAGCCUUAUUAUUUACCCUUAUUUUUAAAAGCUGCUGUUCUUGGGCUCCCAUCAAACUGGCUGUUGUUCUAAGAGUGUUUCAAAGAAUCCCCUUAGCUACUUCUCUGAUGAUGUCAUAAAGGAAGGAGUGUCCUAUUAAACAUCCUCUCAUACAGCCAUAAUUCUUCAGAGAAAACCAAGCAAUACCCAAGAGGAAACUGAAUUUAUCUUUGGACUUGAGACGACCAAGCCUUUGGCCAAGUUCUAAACAAACUGGGGAUUUCCUCAUAUAAAGAAGGCUCCAGACCCUUCCUUACUCUCCCCAGUAGUAGGAUUUCUCAAGGACUCAUCCAGAGAAGUCUGCCAGAAAAUCGUUUGAAAGCAAGGCUAUUCAAGGUACCGGGGAUUGAACUCGGGUCCUUGUGCUUGCGCAGUAGGCGGUGAAACCACUGAGCUAAAUCCCCAGAGUAAUAUUGGUUUUGAUCAAAAAUGACACUUGUACACCUCUGACAAGUUACCUGAAUUGUCUGAGCCUCAGUUUCUUCACUGGGAAACCAAUGCCUGGGUAAAAUUUCUGGAGGCUAAGAAGUAUGAAUACGACCAUCCACAACAGGAACUAUUUAGUUCUCACAAACAAAAGACCUUUUCCAUACUCAUCAAGAUACAAUAAAAUGUGUACUGGACAGUACUUCACAUGCAGCAGUAAAUAGCUUUCAAGAGAAGUUUCCUAUUUCUAUGUAAAGAUUCCAAACUGGAGGAAUCUGAUUGGAAGCAAAUGGUUAAACAUGCUGCCUAUACACAGAGUCAAACCACCAUGACUACUAUAGCAGCUGAACAAAGUGUGAGAUAUGGAACUUGAACUGCUGCCCUGAUAGCAACUGAAGCAGACGAGAGAAGAAAGGAGCUCACAACCAGGAUGCUCAAAAUCAGGCUGGAAUCCAUCUAUGAUCCAGUUCCAGUCAGUCUGACAAGUCACUCUGAUCCAGUACGAUUAUCCUGUGCACACAAGUUUUAAAGGACAAAGAAGGGAGCUUAAAAUUGAUGUGUACAUUUAUUGUUCCUAUUAUUCUUAUUUGUGGUGCUAAAGCUCAAAACCAGUGCAUUGAAGAUGCUAGACACACACUUUAUUGCUGAGCAAUAUCCCCAUCUCAGUAUGUACAAUUUUAAAGACAAAAAGAAUAUACUUUCUAUUCAACUAAAUUCAAGGGAAAAGAAUUUUGUUCUUUAUAAUCAAGGGAGAGUAUGAUCAACAGUGAAUCAUGGAGAUG
rnacentral:lncRNA from 1 species